GUCUACGGGCCAUGCCCCUGAACAAUCCUGUCUGAUCCCGGAAGCUAAGCAAUGUCAGGGCCUGGUUAAUACUUGGAAUGGGAGACCACCUAGGAAGACCAGGUGCUGUAGGUG
rnacentral:rRNA from 1 species